GCCUUUCUCUCGUGUGCAUGCAUGCUUAAUGAGUUCUAUGUAUUUGGCUAUUGUUCAGUUAGAUGAUGUUUUGUUUUACUGGUAUAUGGACUGAUUUACUUCAAGGAUCUCCUUGAUAAGGAGUGUUUUUAGUCAAAUUUGGGAAUACAGGAGAAACUAAGACCUAUGAUGGCCCACUUUUGUUACUGCAUAAUAAACUCGUUAAGAAACAUAUGGAUACUUCAUGGAUACCCAAGCAUGGUGGGUUCUUAGUUGAGAGAUUCUGCACACUGAACCUCAAUCCUUCAUUCUUUUUUGCUCCUUCCACUCGUAGCCUUAGAACUGUGAUUCGCUCAGAAAACACCAGCACAAGCCAUGAAUAGAUUGCGAUAUUUUACUAUGCUUGAAAAUUAAACACAACUCACGUGUAAAAUUCUGUAUAACAGUUAUGCUAAGGAGGACUUCAUAUGAUUUUAUAGCCAUCUAAUUGGCUUUCAUACGUCUGGAUUGGAUUAACUGCCACUGUACUUUUCAGCGGUAACAAUAACUUUUGAGCAUAAUAUAUUAUCUCUCUGUAGAUAGUUUAUUUGAUUAUUCACAUGCAUUAUGAAUCACUCUUGUGAUGGUACCUUGGGCCCUUGGUCAUGGCCGUGAAAUUGACUAUGACGGGGAUGAUUAUAUUGUGCCUGUGAGGUUGGCUCUCCUAUGAAACCAGGCCCAAACUAUGUUGAACCUAACUUUCCUUUCCGGAGUGAUUCAUGUACUGUGUGAAUCUUGGAUGCGACUAAUAAAUAAGUUUUUUCUGACCAUUGGUGAACCCUUCGGAAGGAGAACCAAUUUGGCUCUGAUUACUUUGAAUCAAAUCCAGCCUUCAUUCAGUUUAUAUACCUAGAG